CCCGACCAUUGCUGCUACCUUGACGUGGUGGUCCGGCUUGCCUAUCGUGAUGAGCCAAUCGAGCUACACUGGCUGGAACAGUCAUUCCCCAAGGUUCUACCAUGCCAGACAGGUCGGUUGAAGAGCGGUAAGACUAAAAGCAGU
rnacentral:ribozyme from 1 species